rnacentral:rRNA from 1 species
GACGAACGCUGGCGGCGUGCUUAACACAUGCAAGUCGAACGGAAAGGCCCUGCUUUUGCGGGGUGCUCGUUUGGCGAACGGGUGAGUAUCACGUGUGUAACCUCCCCCUGUCUUUGUGAUAACUUCAGGGAACUGGGGCUAAUACCGGAUAGGAGCUCCUGCUGCAUGGUGGGGGUUGGAAAGUUUCGGCGGUUUGGGAUCGACUCGCGGCUUAUCCGCUUGUUGGUGUGGUAGUGGCUUACCAAGGCUUUGACGGGUAGCCGGCCUGAGAGGGGGACCGGCCACAUUGGGACUGCGAGACGGACCAGACGCCUACGGGAGGCAGCAGUGGGGAAUAUUGCACAAUGGGCGGGAGCGUGAUGCGGCAACGCCGCGUGCGGGAUGACGGCCUACGGGUUGUGAACCGAUGUCGCCUGUGACGAAGCGUGAGUGACGGUAAUGGGUAAAGAAGCACCGGCUAACUACGUG